AGAGUUUGAUCCUGGCUCAGGAUGAACGCUAGCGACAGGCUUAACACAUGCAAGUCGAGGGGCAGCAUGAGGUAGCAAUACCUUGAUGGCGACCGGCGCACGGGUGAGUAACGCGUAUGCAACCUGCCUGAUACCGGGGUAUAGCCCAUGGAAACGUGGAUUAACACCCCAUAGUACUUUUAUCCUGCCUGGGAUGGGAGUUAAAUGUUCAAGGUAUCGGAUGGGCAUGCGUCCUAUUAGUUAGUUGGCGGGGUAACAGCCCACCAAGACGAUGAUAGGUAGGGGUUCUGAGAGGAAGGUCCCCCACAUUGGAACUGAGACACGGUCCAAACUCCUACGGGAGGCAGCAGUGAGGAAUAUUGGUCAAUGGACGAGAGUCUGAACCAGCCAAGUCGCGUGAGGGAAGACUGCCCUAUGGGUUGUAAACCUCUUUUAUAAGGGAAGAAUAAGUUCUACGUGUAGAAUGAUGCCUGUACCUUAUGAAUAAGCAUCGGCUAACUCCGUGCCAGCAGCCGCGGUAAUACGGAGGAUGCGAGCGUUAUCCGGAUUUAUUGGGUUUAAAGGGUGCGUAGGCGGUUUAUUAAGUUAGUGGUUAAAUAUUUGAGCUAAACUCAAUUGUGCCAUUAAUACUGGUAAACUGGAGUACAGACGAGGUAGGCGGAAUAAGUUAAGUAGCGGUGAAAUGCAUAGAUAUAACUUAGAACUCCGAUAGCGAAGGCAGCUUACCAGACUGUAACUGACGCUGAUGCACGAGAGCGUGGGUAGCGAACAGGAUUAGAUACCCUGGUAGUCCACGCCGUAAACGAUGCUCACUGGUUCUGUGCGAUAUAUUGUACGGGAUUAAGCGAAAGUAUUAAGUGAGCCACCUGGGGAGUACGUCGGCAACGAUGAAACUCAAAGGAAUUGACGGGGGCCCGCACAAGCGGAGGAACAUGUG
rnacentral:rRNA from 1 species